AUGGAGUGGAACAGGGCUUUGCGUGAGUGCACCUCCGUCCACGUGGGGCAGGCCCGUGUGCAGAAUGGCAAUGCCUGCCGGGAGCUCUGCUGUCUGGAACAUGGGACACAGCCAGAUGGGCAGGUGCCCAGUGACAAGACCAUUGGUGGAAGGGCGACUCCUUCAACACCUUCUUCUGUGAACCUGGUGCUGGCAAGCAUGUGCCCUGGCAGUGUUCAUGGAUCUGGAGCCCACCGUGAUUGAUGAGGUUCGGACAGGUAUGUACCACCAGCUCUUUUACCAGUGCAGGGUAUCAAAGGCAAGGAAGCUGCUGCCAAUAGCUACCCCCAAGGCCACUGUACCUUAGGGAAGGGGCUCAUUGACUUGGCGCUUGACCGCAUUCGGAAGCUGUGCACAGGGCUCCAGGGCUUCCUGGUCUUCCACAGCUUUGGGGGCGGCACCGGCUCUGGCUUCACCUCGCUCCUCAUGGAGCGGCUCUCUGUUGACUAUGGCAAGAAGUCCAAGCUGGAGUUCUCCAUCUACCCAGCCCCCCAGGUGUCCACAGCCGUGGUGGAGCCCUACAACUCCAUCCUGACCACGCACACCACCCUGGAGCACUCAGACUGCGCCUUCAUGGUGGACAACGAGGCCAUCUAUGACAUCUGCCGCCGCAACCUGGACAUCGAGCGCCCGACCUACACCAACCUCAACCGCCUCAUCAGCCAGAUCGUCUCGUCCAUCACAGCUUCCCUGCGCUUCGACGGGGCCCUCAACGUGGACCUGACUGAGUUCCAGACCAACCUGGUGCCCUACCCUCGCAUCCACUUCCCCCUGGCCACCUAUGCCCCCGUCAUCUCUGCAGAGAAGGCCUAUCACGAGCAGCUGUCGGUGGCGGAGAUCACCAACGCCUGCUUCGAGCCGGCCAACCAGAUGGUGAAGUGCGACCCCCGCCACGGCAAGUACAUGGCCUGCUGCCUGCUGUACCGCGGAGACGUGGUGCCCAAGGAUGUCAACGCCGCCAUCGUGGCCAUCAAGACCAAGCGUAGUAUUCAGUUCGUGGACUGGUGCCCCACGGGUUUCAAAGUCGGCAUCAACUACCAGCCCCCCACCGUGGUGCCCGGGGGCGACCUGGCCAAGGUGCAGCGGGCCGUGUGCAUGCUGAGCAACACCACCGCCAUCGCCGAGGCCUGGGCCCGCCUGGACCACAAGUUCGACCUGAUGUACGCCAAGAGGGCGUUUGUGCACUGGUACGUGGGGGAGGGCAUGGAGGAGGGCGAGUUCUCUGAGGCCCGGGAGGAUAUGGCCGCCCUGGAGAAGGAUUAUGAGAGGUCGGAGCCGGAGCCAACCGCGUCGCCCAGGUUCCCUGCCGGGGUGACGUCGUCCUGGUGCAAGCCCGAAAUAGCCCGCCCCGCCCCAUCUCCCGGCAGCCCCUGCAGCAACACCACCCCCACCCCUCGAGUGACAGGCCGAACCGGCCUCUUCGGGGUGUCUAGUAGUUUCCGUGCAGCUGACGCACGCUUGCGCGCGCACAGCUGCCCGACCGCGUCCUACGCAGCAACCGCGAGCCCGCAGCCGGUGCCAGACGGUUCCCCGCGGGGGGCCGGGGCGGGGCGCUGCCGGAGCCAGGGACUCCGAGCGGAGGAGGUGCGGGUGGGGGACCCCCGGCCAGGUGGGGCGACCCUGGGCCGGACUGCUGGUGUUAGAGGACCCCAUAGGGCUUCGGGCCUGGAAGGCGAGAGAUAG